GGAUGUGAGGGCGAUCUGGCUGUGACAUCUGUCACCCCACUGAUUUGGCUGAUCUGGCUAGCCUGGCUAGAUGGGUGUCCCCUUCCUCCCUCACUGCUCCAUGUGUGUCCCUCUCGAAGCUGUGCGCUCAGUAAAAGAGGGUGACCAUCCCAGGUAGAAGGAGUGUACCGUUCUUCGAUCAAGGGUAUAUAAUAAGAAACAUACAGUAAUAAGUAGAACAAAACUUUUCUGUACAGAAAUAGUCAAUACUUUACCAUUUCCCCCAUCAUUCUACAGUUCAUUUUAAAUGGGCUGAAUUUAUA
rnacentral:snRNA from 1 species